UGUGGUGGGUCCUGUGUUGGUACGGGAAGGCGGCUGUUAACCGCAUUGUCGCAGGUUCAAUUCCUGCCUCCACAGC
rnacentral:tRNA from 1 species